rnacentral:rRNA from 1 species
AACGCUAGCUACAGGCUUAACACAUGCAAGUCGAGGGGCAGCGUAAAAGUAGCAAUACUUUGGUGGCGACCGGCGCACGGGUGAGUAACGCGUAUGCAACCUACCUAUCAGAGGGGGAUAACCCGGCGAAAGUCGGACUAAUACCGCAUAAAACAGGGGCACCGCAUGGUGAUAUUUGUUAAAAAUUUAUUGCUGAUAGAUGGGCAUGCGUUCCAUUAGGUAGUUGGAGAGGUAACGGCUCACCAAGCCCACGAUGGAUAGGGGAACUGAGAGGUUGGUCCCCCACACUGGUACUGAGACACGGACCAGACUCCUACGGGAGGCAGCAGUGAGGAAUAUUGGUCAAUGGGCGAGAGCCUGAACCAGCCAAGUCGCGUGAAGGAAGAAGGAUCUAUAGUUCGUAAACUUCUUUUGCAGGGGAAUAAAGUGCAGGACGUGUCCUGUUUUGUAUGUACCCUGAGAAUAAGGAUCGGCUAACUCCGUGCCAGCAGCCGCGGUAAUACGGAGGAUCCGAGUGUUAUCCGGAUUUAUUGGGUUUAAAGGGUGCGUAGGUGGUUUAAUAAGUCAGCGGUGAAAGUUUGCAGCUUAACUGUAAAAAUGCCGUUGAAACUGUUAGACUUGAGUGUAAAUGAGGUAGGCGGAAUGCGUGGUGUAGCGGUGAAAUGCUUAGAUAUCACGAAGAACUCCGAUUG